rnacentral:rRNA from 1 species
GACGAACGCUGGCGGCGUGCUUAACACAUGCAAGUCGAACGGAAAGGCCCUGCUUUUGUGGGGUGCUCGAGUGGCGAACGGGUGAGUAACACGUGAGUAACCUGCCCUUGACUUUGGGAUAACUUCAGGAAACUGGGGCUAAUACCGGAUAGGAGCUCCUGCUGCAUGGUGGGGGUUGGAAAGUUUCGGCGGUUGGGGAUGGACUCGCGGCUUAUCAGCUUGUUGGUGGGGUAGUGGCUUACCAAGGCUUUGACGGGUAGCCGGCCUGAGAGGGUGACCGGCCACAUUGGGACUGAGAUCCGGCCAAGACUCCUACGGGAGGCAGCAGUGGGGAAUAUUGCACAAUGGGCGGAAGCCUGAUGCAGCAACGCCGCGUGCGGGAUGACGGCCUUCGGGUUGUAACCCGCUUUCGCCUGUGACGAAGCGUGAGUGACGGUAAUGGGUAAAGAAGCACCGGCUAACUACGUG